rnacentral:rRNA from 1 species
GACGAACGCUGGCGGCGUGCUUAACACAUGCAAGUCGAACGGAAAGGCCCUGCUUUUUUGGGGUGCUCGAGUGGCGAACGGGUGAGUAACACGUGAGUAACCUGCCCUUGACUUUGGGAUAACUUCAGGAAACUGGGUCUAAUACCGGAUAGGAGCUCCUGCUGCAUGGUUGGGGUUGGAAAGUUUCGGCGGUUGGGGCUGGACUCGCGGCUCAUCAGCUUGUUGGUGGGGUAGUGGCUUACCAAGGCUUUGACGGGUAGCCGGCCUGAGAGGGUGACCGGCCACAUUGGGACUGCGAUACGGACCAGACUCCUACGGGAGGCAGCAGUGGGGAAUAUUGCACAAUGGGCGGAAGCCUGAUGCAGCAACGCCGCGUGCGGGAUGACGGCCUUCGGGUUGUAAACCGCUUUCGCCUGUGACGAAGCGUGAGUGACGGUAAUGGGUAAAGAAGCACCGGCUAACUACGUG